GACGAACCGUGCAAACGUUAUUCGGAAUCACUGGGCUUAAAGCGCGUGUAGGCGGGACAGCACGUCGAUCGCUGAAAGCCCCCGGCUCAACCGGGGAACUGGCGCCGAUACGACUGUCCUCGAGGAACGUAGGGGGACCUGGAACUUCCGGUGGGAGCGGUGAAAUGCGUUGAGAUCGGAAGGAACGCCCGUGGCGAAAGCGAGGUCCUGGACGUUUCUGACGCUGAGACGCGAAAGCCAGGGGAGCGAACGGG
rnacentral:rRNA from 1 species